rnacentral:lncRNA from 1 species
GUAAAUAUCUGUGUUUUCCAGUGACAUAAGGACUCAAGACUUUGCCCUAAAAUUCAUCCCCUGAACACACAAAGUAAUAUUUCCCCCAGGAAGUACAACUCCAUAAAUCAUUAGAUUAUGAGACAACGAAAUGGGGAACUUAUUUAGUCUUUUGCUGUAUUUUUCACAAGAACAUCAAUGUCACAGUAAAACAGAUUCAAACACACAAUUGCACAUAUGUUAAAAGUCUACUCAGAUAAGGUACACUGAUGUGACAGUAACAUUUACAAUUCAUUGGCAGUUAAUUCAGUAACAAGGAAAGUAGCCACAUUCUCCUGAAGGUUCUUUCUGCCUAGUGCUAUUUAAAUAUCAACCACAAUGAAAACUCAAGUUCUCAUUUUAUAACCUCCAGAAAAAAGUGUGGGAACAAAGACAAGAAACAAGGGGAAGGGGAGUUAAUAACUUAACACAAACUGUCACAAAGUUUGUUUCUAGCGCUGACAAAGCAGGACAUUUUACUUAGUAACUGACACUGACAUAAAAUUCCCACCAGGCACUUCACUUCUUCAUUCACCCAACCCCAACAUAAAACACUUCUGACUUCUGGCAAUCCAUUGCACAUAAAGGAAGGUAAGGACAUAGGAAGGAGGAACAACGGCAUAAAGAACAGAGUUGGUUUGGUUUUCAAGUCAAGCUGGCCGAAAGUCCCUAGUUCAAGUCCCAGAUUUGCUCUUUAGUUUAUGGGUGUGACCUUGAUCCAGUCUUUCAACCACGAUUUCCUCUUCUUCCGGGUUCACUGGUGUAAGUCAUCUGUCCCAAAACACUGGAAUGUCAGUUUCUUUUUGAAUACAAUAAAUAUUAACAGGACUUAUGUCACAGCAUCAAAUGGAGGAACCCAUGAGAUUUAUAAAGCGCUGGUACAGUGACUGAUCAUGGUACAUGCUUAAUUGUAAGUUAUUGGCACUAACUAGCAGCGACCAGACCUGAAAAACAGUUUGAAAACUUUUUCAAACGUCGGUAUGUAAAGCUGUUACCCACCAAAUAGAAAUUGCUCAAGUAUGCAUAUAUUUAUUCCACAGAAAUCUAAUAGUUCUAUAUCGGGAUUUGCUAAAGCAAUAAAUGAAUCCUGAAUUGUGGAAACGGACCUAAUCUACGACAAGGCAUUCAGCAGACUCCAAGCUUUUCUACUUCAAAACAGGCCUUAAGCAGGGGGCGACUGGCUGCCCAGUCUCCCCUUCAAGCGACCCCGGGCUGUCAGGGAAUCAGGGAAUCCCACUCCUCCUUGCACAGGGGGAGGACAGAGACAGCCUCGGGAAGGGGGGGGGGCAGCGUUGGGGAAAAACUCGCAUCCCUGGACCUAGUCGUCCAGAUCCACCUCAAGCACGAUGGACCCCGGCAGCUGGUUGAUGUCUAGGGGCUCAGGGGGCGAAUCUCUAAGGAAUUCGCAGGGAUCGGGGAGCCUCGGACAGUCCGCGUUGCGGCUUUCAGCCUGAUGCUGGGCGGACCACGCGGUGAUGCUUCCAGCCCGGAGAGUGUCGCCGGUGGCUUCAAUGAAGGAACACUCUGAGGCAGGAGAGGUGGGCCUGGAGCCGAUCACUGGCAGGGGCUGCUCUGGGGCCUGGCAGUAGCCAGCAUCCAGUGGCUGCAGCAGCAAGCCACCUCCCCCAACAGGUCCUCCGCCGCCGCCGCCGCCGCCGCCGCCGCUGCCGCCGCCGCCGCAGCGGGGCUGGCUGCAGUAGGUGUAGUCGGGAAGCUCGUCGUCCUUCCAGUUGCACACUAGGUCGGGGGCCAAGGGAUGCUCCGUCUGUGGCGGCAGCCCCUGGAACAGCUGCACGGCGGCCGGCGGCCCCAGGAAGCGCAGCGGCCCCAUGCUGGCCACGAAGAGGCUCCGGCCCUGCUGCUCCCAGGCGGCGGCGGCGGCCAGCCCCAGCUCCUUGCAACGGGUGGCGGGCGACGAGGCCGAGGAGGCGGCAGCGGCGGCGGCCGACGACAGCAGGAAGCGGCGGGCCGCGGCGGCGCAGUCUUCGGCCGCCAAGGCCGCGUAGCGCGGCUCUAGGUGCUGCAAGGGGGAGGUGGCGUAGGCCCCGUCCCGCGGCAGCGGCGGCGACAGCGGCGGCUCCUCCUCUGGGCCGGCGGGGGCGGGCCCGCUGGGGCUGUGCACGAUGAAACAGAGCAUGCAGGGCCCGCGGAAGAAGCAGUCCCGAUUGCGGGCCGCCGCCGCCGCGGGCUGUGGGGACGACUUGGUCGGCGUCCGGCCCGGCAGCCUGAUGAGAGGGCGCCGGCGGCGACACCAGCUGCAGCAACGAGGCUUCUUCUGGCUCGCACGGUUCCGAGGCUCCUUCGAGAGAAGGUGGCCCAUAAAGACGGCCCUAGGAGGGCGAGCCCAAGAGAACGGGAUAGAGGCCCGCGAAGCAGGCUCCGAUGGCCGGUCAGGCCGCUGGCAGACCGGGCCUGUGCCCCGCCGCGAGCCGCUCCGCGCUGCGCACCUGGCCGCCUCGACGGCCCGGUGGGUGACAGCCGCUGGGUACCUAGGCGGGCCGCAGGCGGGCUACAUACUUCGGGCCCAGAAGCCUGGAGAAAGCUGAGCCCGAGCUCUGGGGACUCGAGGGAGGCAGCGAGUCGGGUCGCUAGGCCUCUUGGUCCGCUCUGGCAGCGCGCUGGUGGGGGCAGCGGCUGUCCUGCUCAGACCACUUUAUCUGCAGCUCCGCCAACGGCGCGUGUGCCUGCGACACAACAGGAGCCGCAGGAGCACACCACCCACUCCAAGAGGGGGCGGAGCCGGCCUUGGGGGCGCGCCGGAGGGGGGGGGGAGGAAGGAGGGAGGGGUGGGUGCGGGGGCGGAGGGGGGGCAGAGGGAUGGCUCACCUGCUUGGGUUGCCAGCCAGACAAAAGGCUAGCUAGUGGCCCGCCCCCCUGCUCAGAGGUUCCUUAGGGGCCUGAAGCCCAUGACUCUCUUCUGAGGUGGGCCUUUUUUCUCAGUUUUUCAAAUGUAGGCACUGAGAGCUAUCAGUUUUCCUCCUAGGACUACUUGCACACUAUAUCUCAGAUGGGUUUCGUGUUGUGUUUUCCUCCAGUUCCCGGAAAUGUUCUGUUUCUCUUUGGGAUUUCUUCUUUGACCCAUUCAUCAUUCAGUCAUGUGUUGCUUAAUCUCCAGGAGUUUGUGGACUUACUGGAGAUCUGUCUGCUGACAGUUUGAAGUUGUGGUGCGUUAUGAUCAGAGAGGAUGCUCGCUGUCAUUUUAAUCUUCCUGAGAUUAGAGCUUUGCUUUGUAUCCCAGGAUGUGCUCUGUUUUGGAGACCGGUCCCUGUGCUGCUGAGUAGAAGGCCCUUUGGUGUUUGUGUGGAAUAUUCUAUAGGUAUCUCCUAAGUCCAUUUGAUGGCUGAUAACCAUCUAAUUCUCGGGGUUCUGUCUGCUGUCUGUCUAGGUGAAUUGUCUAUUGGAGAAACUGGAACGAACUGGGAAAUUGUACUCACAUAGAAUGAACAGGUUGGUGCCAGGCUGUGUCUUUCAGUCCGCUAGUACAUUUUUAAAUGAAAUCGGGUGAGCCCGUGUUUGGUGCGUAUAUGUUUAGGAUAGUAAUGUCUUGCUUAAUUGUUCUCUUGGUUAGAAUUAAGUGUCCUUCUUUGUCGCUUCUAGUCUAUUUUGACUUAUAUUAGAACGGCAAUGCCAGUUGCUGCCUAGUCCCCUGUCUCGUUUGACUGGAGAGUCUUUACCCAUCCUGUUACUCUAAGGCAGUGUGUAGUGUCUAUCUUUAAAACUGAAAAUGUGUUUCUUGUAGGCAACAGGUAGAUGGAUUUUGUUUCUUGAUCCAUUAAGCCAGCAUGUUAUUUAAUUGGAGAAGUGAGAUCAUCUAUAUUUAAAGUUAAUAUUUAAAAGUCUGUGCUGACUGGAGCCAUUAUGUUGUUGAUUUUUGGUGGUAUUAUGUUCUUGGUACUUUGUGCUUUUGUGAUGAUGGCUUUGUUUUUCUUUCAACAGUCUCUUAGCUACGCUCAUUUCUCUCUGCAGCCUGACAUACAGCUUCCUGUAUUUUCUUUGAGUGUUGUUUGUGGGAUAUAAAAAUGUCAGGCUGUGUAUAGCAUGGGGAAUUUUUCUUUCUUUCAGCUAAGGCAGAUAGUUUCCCUGGACAAAUUAGUCUAGGCUGUCAUUGUGUGGAUGUUUUUAGCACUCUUACUGCAUUGUUCCAAGAUCUUCUGGCUUUCCAAGUUUCCACUGAGAAAUCCUUUGUUAUUUUAAUAAGUUUUCCUUUUGAGUGACUUGCUACCUUUCUUUUGUAGCUUUCAAUACACUUCCCUUGUUCUGUGUACUUAGUGUUUUAACUAGCAUACACUGAGUAUUUCUGGUCUGGUCUAUCUGGUGUUCUGUGUGCUUCUUCUAUUUGUAUGGGUGCAUCUUUCCUUAGUUUGGGGACUUGUUCUAUGACGCAGAUGUGAUUGAAAGAGGGAGCCACAUUCCAGACCCACCAAGCAGAACUGACAAGCUUUCGCCACAUGGUUCUGGCUUUAGAGUCAAGGAUACAAGAAAGGAGUUAUGGAAUCUCCCUCCAUGGCUAAGGAAAGCCACUGAGGCCAGGCUUGUCUCAGGGGUGUCCCUGCAUUGGAGGACAUUGCAGAUGAGUCAUUGCGUGCUGCUGUGAAGGUGAAGCCUGGAUUGGGUUGGAGACCCCAAGGGGUUGGAGAUGCCAGAGUCAUGGGAUCCAUGCCAAGGAUAGCUGAACGUUGGGUGUGAAAUCACCCUGGGGGGGGGGGAGAGAGAGAGAGAGAGAGAGAGAGAGAGAGAGAGAGAGAGAGAGAGAGAGAGAGGUGUUGCAGUCAACAAAGCUGAAAGGAGUUGGAGGUCUAAGGAGCUCUUUGACAUCAAACAUAGAGAUGCAGAAUUUGGUAUCAACCCUGUUGCUGUCUGGUUUUCAUUUGGUGCAGUAUUUCCUCACUCUGCUCCCUUUCCUCCCUUUUAGAAUAGUAGACUGAGAUCUCUACAUGAAGAAGAAGGGCAGAAGGAGGGCUGGAAGACAGAUGUGGGACAUGUGCUCCUGUGGGAUCUGUCCCAGGACCUGGCCCAUCCUAAGAAAAAAUUCUGACACCAUGGAAGGAGGGAAAGAAGCUCUCAGACAGCUUCAGAGAAGUUGUUUUGUACAAGUGAUUGGUGGCUAAUGCAGAAACUCCCAUCUGGUUAGACUGCACAAAGUAAGUGUCUAUGGAUUGCCCACAAAACAUCAAACAUGUCACACACUCUCCCCCCAAGCUCAAGUUCCAUAACAGAAGAGGGGGAUCAAGAGAUUUGAAGAGGCAGAAGACAUUCGCACCAGAGCAAUGUAGUGUUUGAGGGACAUGAAAUGGUUAUUAGACUCAUGAACACACAGUAGGUGUCUUUACCCCCAUGAGACCUGCACAAGAUCAAGCCUGCCAGCACUCUGGCAUGGACUGAGUGGGAUCUCUUGUGCUCUUAAAAGUACGUGGCUUUUGUGGGAGGAAGACUCCAUUUUAAGAAUAUGGCCCCUGGUAGGUCAACCAUACUCUAGUGGAUGGUUCUACAUACAACAGUAUGUAGAUAGCACAAAUUGGC